GGUUUUUCUGGAGGGAGCAAACCUAGUGGAAUCACUGGCUUCCCAAGAAUUUUCUCAAAUAUUUUCAGGUACUCGCCUUCAAAUUCAGUGCAGCUACGGACAACCGCAGCUUGGCAAGCUGACAUUGUCUUAGCAAUCCGUUCAGCGUCACUUACGCCCGAUGCAUUCUCACCGUAGAAGCCAGAAAAAAAGUUGCGAGCCUCAUAGCUUCGAAAAGCUACGGAAGAGGGGAAAGUUAUCCAUUCUGGUGGUGAAGUUAGACUUUCUGGCGUUGCUCUGAAUCUCUUUCGGCCAUCACCGUCUAAAUAUUCUGGUGGUCCUAUAAAGGCUCUCAUAGCCCCAGAGAAAACAGACAGAUAUAGGAGUGGGAUACCAAAUUCUUUAGCAAUAUCAGCAGCCCAGUAAUGGCAAAAGUCAACGACUAACCAAUUGGGCCUUUUCUCAGCGACAAACUUCUUAAAGGGAUGUUGCAAGAGAUCAUAGGCGACUUUCAGGUACUGAAUCUUCUCGGAGGAGAUGUCUAUUGUGGCCUCAGCUCCUUCGGGCAAGCGACAUUCACCAUCCAGAGUAGGCAUUGGAAGCUCCACCAAGUUUAUUGCAUGUGUUAAACUUGGUGAAAGUUUAGGGAGUCUCUGAAUAUUCCCUGGGGUUGAUACAAACGAGACGUGAACUCCAGCUUUGGCUAAUGCAAUGGAGAAUUGGAAAAACGGCAUUAUAUGGCCAAAGGCAGACCAUGGAAGGAUUGCCACAUGCAAAUCAGCUGCCAUAGCUAAUCGUUGAAAAAGCUGAAGAGGCCAAUACCUGAAAUGAGAAUAAUGGGCAACUACAAGAGAAUAUAUUAUCACUGUAUGAUGGGUAGAAAUAAUUUGUGUGUUACUAUUAAGGCUUUCGUAUGUGGUGACGCCAACACAUAACAUUUUUAAAUCUUCCGGCUGGAAGGGUUCCUAGCGGCUUCCUUGCUUGGUUAACAUUUUUUU
rnacentral:misc_RNA from 1 species